CACAAUGGUUGUGGCAACACCAGCUGUCCUUAGGGCUUCUGUUCAGUGACUAUAAGGUUCAUCCAUAGGUCUGAGAAACUGCAGCAUGAGUUGAAGCUGGCCAUAGCCCAGGAAAGCCUCCAGCAUAAGGAAGGAGCUGCUGCAUCAGGAGCCACCUGCUGAGCCUCAACACCAGGAGCCACCUGCUGAGCCUCAGUCCCAGGAGCCACCUGCUGAGCCUCAGUCCCAGGAGCCACCUGCUGAGCCUCAGCAUCAGGAGCCACCUGCUGAGUCUCAGCACCAGGAGCCACCUGCUGAGCCUCAGCACCAGGAGCCACCUGCUGAGCCUCAGUCCCAGGAGCCACCUGCUGAGCCUCAGCAUCAGGAGCCACCUGCUGAGCCUCAGCAUCAGGAGGCACCUGCUGAGCCUUGUUCCCAGCAACCACAGAAUUCCUUGAAUGGAUUUUCUACCUCAAAUUUGGUUUCCCCAGUGUGAGUAUGCCCUUACUUCAUCUAGCCAGUGAGCCAACCAGGCUGUUUCUGGGUCUGAUUUUCUUUCCUUCCCUGGAGAGAACUGAGGAGACCAAUGGAAACCAAAGUUGACUUGAAAGGAUGACAUUCUCUACUUCAGGAUCAAGGCCUUCUCUGAAAAAGACACUCCCUUUGAACUAUAAACUCAAAAAUUCCAACUGAACUCCAGGUGAUGCAACCCAAUCUGAUCUAUGAGUCUGUUUGCCUUCUUCUUCCAGAAGAAAAGAAAGCAUAAAAAAUAAGCUGGAGGCACAGAAAACCCAACAACAACAAACAAACAAACAAACAAAAAUGGAGACAAGAAUUACUCAGAACGGAGCUAUACACCAGCAAGUGGUCCUGGAGGGGGAACCACAACAACAUGGAGGGAGGAUGGUUGGUGAGCAAGAGUUACUCUGUCACUUUACUGUACAGGGCUUUGGCAGCCGGCUGAGUCCUCAGCUCCCUGUAAGUGGUGGGAAAUCGAUCAUGGAAGACUUUACUGAUAUCAUGUUGCUAUCCAGACAGACCACACCCAAAGACACAGGUUUCUCUCACCAGGGCAGUGCUGCAGCAGACUGACAUGCAGAAACAUUGCUGAAGAUAACAUGCUACAGACAUGAUCACAGUCUUCUUUCCUCCUUCUAGUCAUUUGGUCCAAUGAGGAAUCUCAGCUUCACACUUGGAGUCAUGUGACCUGUCCUGAGAAAGGACUUGUAGAGAAUAUGUCAGUGUCGCCAUUGUCCUGUCUGGAUAACAGAUGCUCCCAGGCAUAUGCUAAUUGAAAGAACUAAGACGUGGACUACAUUUAAUAGAAACUGCCUGCUUGUACCACAUCGUCUUCUUGGGCCAGAUAGAACAAGGCAGUAUAUAUUACACCAGCAGAGGGCGGUAAUUGUUCAAGAAACAUCGCUUAGUGUCUCAAAGGCGCUCUAUGAAUUUACAAAGCAGUGAGAAGCCCCUGGUGGAUAGGGACUAUCAGUCUUUGGCUGUGAGACUUCAGAUAAAGUCCUGAUGCUCAAGAGUUGUCUUGGGUGUGGCUGGAUUAUGCAAACAUCAGCUGAAAGGUCUGGCAUACAGGGGUGUCUCUGGAGGGGAGAGGCAGAAUGUGGACCUGACCUCCACAC